CUCCAGCUCCUGAGCGGGCCUCGGAGAGGCCACAAAGGGGGGCUUAGAGCCCUAAGCUCAAGCUGGCCACAGGGAAUAGGGUGAGGGGAGGCAAAAACAAACCCGUUAGCCUGUGAGCAGGCACAUGCCACGUCUUAGUGACCCAUUCCUCCUUUCUCUCCCAGAGCGCUACCCACCUUCCCUUACUUGGCAAAAACUCAUCCUGCUUGCCCUACUCAUCCCAGAAUAGGAGCGGCUGACCAGUGUAGUAGCUGAUAACCCAAGGACCCUCCCAGAAGAUACAUUCCAUAACAGCCCCCUUCCUCUCAGAGUCUUCUGUGUCUCCUCAAAGACAUAGCCCCCAAAUGCCUUCUAUGCCCUGGCUGCCAGGCAAAGCCUGUGGCACCACCCUCUGUUACUGCCUCUCAGCUGAUGGUCCCCACCCCCACCUAGUACAGAGGUGGACUGUCACAGCCCCUGUUGGAGCCACUGGCUCUGGAUCCAGGCUGAAUCCCCGUCAGUAAUGUUCACCUCUUCUCUCCGUCUCAGGCAGGCAGCCUUCCCACCAGGCUAGCCUAGGUCCAGAUGCACAGAUUUACAAGGAAAUUCUCCACUGUUCUCCAAGGACAGAGGCAACCAUGAAAAUGUCUAAACCUAAAUCAAAAUGUAUGCUAAAAGUCAGCCUUACUUUUGGGUGGAUGGCCCCAAGUCUCUUGAGGACAUCAUAGCAAAAUUCUGAAGCGUUCAGUAGGUGUUUCUAUACCGACGCUCGUUUCCAAGAAGUGCCUGAGAAGGCAUCUCCCUGCAAACCACUGCCCAAGCAUUUCCUUCAUCUUAAUCUGAAGAAUAGCUAAGGAUUUUGUCUUAAGUUCCAUUCGUUUCUUACAUUGCUUAAAGUCUUUAUGGCCAAAAGGACAAGGCUAGAGCAUUUGGUGUGAAUUCCUAAUAAAAAACAACCCCAAA